GAUGUGAGAAAAACAAACUAUUCAAGCUCUGUACCAGAUUACAAUUUCACUGAAUUUAGUUUCCCAAGGGAAGCCCAGAAGACGAGUUCCUUCUUCCUCUUCAGAGCUUCAAU